rfam:Hymenolepis diminuta genome assembly, scaffold: HDID_scaffold0000127
GUGGGCUAUGGUGACAUGCGACCUGUGACGGUAGGUGGAAAAUUGGUUGGUUCUCUCUGUGCCAUCGCUGGUGUCCUGACCAUUGCCCUUCCAGUUCCUGUUAUUGUCUCAAAC